AACGAACGCUGGCGGCAUGCCUAACACAUGCAAGUCGAACGAGACCUUCGGGUCUAGUGGCGCACGGGUGCGUAACGCGUGGGAACCUGCCCUUAGGUUCGGAAGAACUCCCCGAAAGGGGUGCGAAUACCGGAUAAUGUCUUCGGACCAAAGAUUUAUCGCCUUUGGAUGGGCCCGCGUUGGAUUAGCUAGUUGGUAGGGUAAAAGCCUACCAAGGCGACGAUCCAUAGCUGGUCUGAGAGGAUGAUCAGCCACACUGGGACUGAGACACGGCCCAGACUCCUACGGGAGGCAGCAGUGGGGAAUAUUGGACAAUGGGCGAAAGCCUGAUCCAGCAAUGCCGCGUGAGUGAUGAAGGCCUUAGGGUUGUAAAGCUCUUUUACCCGGGAUGAUAAUGACAGUACCGGGAGAAUAAGCUCCGGCUAACUCCGUG
rnacentral:rRNA from 1 species